UACGAAGGGGGGCUAGCGUUGUCCGGAAUUACUGGGCGUAAAGCGCACGUAGGCGGAUAUUUAAGUCAGGGGUGAAAUCCCAGAGCUCAACUCUGGAACUGCCUUUGAUACUGGGUAUCUUGAGUAUGGAAGAGGUAAGUGGAAUUGCGAGUGUAGAGGUGAAAUUCGUAGAUAUUCGCAGGAACACCAGUGGCGAAGGCGGCUUACUGGUCCAUAACUGACGCUGAGGUGCGAAAGCGUGGGGAGCAAACAGG
rnacentral:rRNA from 1 species